rnacentral:piRNA from 1 species
UCGCAGUCGCAUUAGUGCUCGUUACGGC